CCCUCACUUACUCUUAUUCUUUUCCGUCUUUUCUGCCUCUCCGCCAUUUCAAUCUCUGCUUUCCAUCACCGUUCUCGACUUGAUCAAGAACCCAGUUAAACUAAAUGGCUAGUUGGGAAACUAACAAAUUGGUAUCCGCUCAUCCAAAUGAUCUGUUUGAUGAUGAAAAUAAAGGAAAGGCAUGUUGGGAUAUUAGCCACUUGGUAUCUCCCGAUCCGAAUGUUCUGUCAGAUGAUGAAAAUAACGAAGAGGAGAAACUUCGAAGGGAGCAAGAGGAUACGGAAUGGUUUGCUUUGUGUAAAAUAACAUGGAAGCUUAUCUUCUUGUAUUAUGAAGAAUACAUAUGCGACGUACCUUACAGUAAGGCAAAACAUCUUGUAGCAUCAAUAAAAGAGGAUAUACACUCUCUAAUAGAGUUUAUGUCGAGCCAAACCACUGCUACAUCUCCUGCAGUAGAUGAGCCCACCAUCGACAAGUGUUUUGCCAUUUUAGAAAAUAUUACUGAUAUUCCUCCGGGGAGUCAUGCUACCCUUAUUUUAUUAGAAAAAAAGAGCGUCUUUCAACAAAAAAGGAUGCAACUUAAUGAAAUACAUAUGGGAAGUCUUUGGUUAUGUUGCCGGUUGUCGGUCGUCCAAUUGCAUUCUUUUAUGUAUAUUAGUUUGUAUAAGCCAUUAAUGUGCUCCAAGUCAAGUUUAUUUAAAAUAGAAAAACUCUUUCAUGCUCCA